rnacentral:rRNA from 1 species
ACCUUCGGGCCUCAUGCCAUCAGAUGUGCCCAGAUGGGAUUAGCUAGUAGGUGGGGUAACGGCUCACCUAGGCGACGAUCCCUAGCUGGUCUGAGAGGAUGACCAGCCACACUGGAACUGAGACACGGUCCAGACUCCUACGGGAGGCAGCAGUGGGGAAUAUUGCACAAUGGGCGCAAGCCUGAUGCAGCCAUGCCGCGUGUGUGAAGAAGGCCUUCGGGUUGUAAAGCACUUUCAGCGGGGAGGAAGGCGAUAAGGUUAAUAACCUUGUCGAUUGACGUUACCCGCAGAAGAAGCACCGGCUAACUCCGUGCCAGCAGCCGCGGUAAUACGGAGGGUGCAAGCGUUAAUCGGAAUUACUGGGCGUAAAGCGCACGCAGGCGGUCUGUCAAGUCGGAUGUGAAAUCCCCGGGCUCAACCUGGGAACUGCAUUCGAAACUGGCAGGCUAGAGUCUUGUAGAGGGGGGUAGAAUUCCAGGUGUAGCGGUGAAAUGCGUAGAGAUCUGGAGG